UAGCUUUUGAGUUUGUGCACAUAUACUACACAAAGCUGUACAGGAACCUGCAGUUUACAUUUAAAGAAGUGUGACUGAAUUAAAAAAAGUAGAGCAACAGUGAAAGAAUGACAGUUUCCCACAAAGAUUUUCCAGUUCCCAACUCAAAGUUAAUGUGUUACUGCCGAGGGCAGACAGUGUGUUAACCUUUCUAACCUCUAUCUGUAUUACACAUAUUCGCACACAUGCACAGGAAGUCAUUUAUCCAAGCACACUCAUUAAGAUUUCCAUGUAUUAGCAUUUAGCAGUCGCUGCUGGGCAAUAGUGCUGCGAUCGCUCGUGUUUAGCACACAUGCACAGGAAGUCAUUUAUCCAAGCACACUCAUUAAGAUUUCCAUGUAUUAGCAUUUAGCAGUCGCUGCUGGGCAAUAGUGCUGCGAUCGCUCGUGUUUAGAGAUGCAGAUGUAUUAGAGCGCCAUGGUUUAAGGCGCCUGCACGUGGCCUAAACAGCCUCGCGACUGAACCAACCAGUUCCUGAUUACUAGGCCAUUACCCCCAAUUACACUGCCGCAUACAGCCACGAGGGGCCCGAUCGCGUGGGUGAGCGCGUGUGUUCACUGAUGUGUGUGUAUUUGUUUACCUGUUCGUUAGCUGGGAGUUAUUCAGCUUCAUUAGUGAGCAUUCAUGCUUGCUACAGUCAUAAUUGCUGUGUUCCCCCGCCACAGUCCAUAGCCACAUUCCAAACUCGCCCCAACACAGAGCGAACACACCCCUACACAACCCAGAUAUUCGAAGCAUCCCAAAGCCAACAACCGCACACCCCACACAUCCCUGAAUAUCUGAGAUUCUACCAGCAUUGGAAGGACAAAAAGCAUCUUUUAGCCCAAACCAAAGUCCAUGUGCUGUUUUCCAGAAUCCGUAUAUGAACAGCCCAAAACCUUUAAUUACACACCCGAUAAAAAGUCUUUAAUGUGACUGAGUUAUUGCGACCUAACAAGGGAAUCUGUGGCUUUGUCCUGUGCCACAACACCCACUCCAUUAUCUGCUAUGAGCUGGGAGAGAGAAAGAAGCAAAGUAGAGGAAAAGAAGAGAGAGAGAGAGAGAAAGGAGGACAGUAAUGAUCAUUACAGACAUCCAUGUUGUCCUUUUCUGCCGUGGAUGCUCCAGGGCGGGUGGGUGUCAUUUUUUUUUUUUUUGUUGCAAAAGUCUAUACCGCAUUGAUUAAUGCUAUGCUCUUUCUCUCUCUCGCUCAUUAUUUGAAAUUAUUGCUCAUCUAGCUAUUGGCCUGGCCCCAGUAAACACACUGCUGUAUAAUAUCUGUGUGUGAGACAGUGAGAAAGUGUGCAGCUUAUAUUUGUAGCUUACAUGACUGCCGUCGUCAUCACUUAUCAGACCACCAAGACAGAGCAGGACAGCAGACUACUGAAAGCCUGUUACAGACACAAGCCAAGACCAGUGUCUGCCUGUUUUUGAAGAGCCACAACAAACCCUCAGUCGAUUUUUUCCACACAUGUAUUAUGCAAAGGGUGUAGAUGACUCUUUGUGUGCACUGAAUGUAUUUUUUUGCUUGUAUUAUUAUUUGGGUCAGUGACUUGAUGCUCACUUUUAUCUAUUAAUUUAUUCAGAAAUGCAUUAAAAUGCAAUUCUUAUAUACAGUGGUUUCAGUAAACCUCUUCUGUGAUGAAUAUGUUUUUAAAUUUUGAAUUGAAAUUAAUUUUGAAUUUUUAACUUUUUUUAUUAAAAUGAUAUUUAAUUUUUUUUUUAAAAAAACGAAACUGCUUUGUUUAGAAAAAACUUUUGCAAAUCAAAGCCAUGCAGUGCAGCCAAAAUGAAAAACUUAAAUCUAUUAUAGAGAAGAACCCUCUGUGUCAAGGUUGAUAGGUCUCCUAAAGUAUCAAAUAAUUUGACCUGGUAAUGACAAGGUUCAGGUUGUAAAAUGUCAUGUGGUGCGACUGCCCAAACAUAGUGGUAUUUAUGAAUUACUAAUUCAUGAUAAUUGUAAAAGAAAAUCAUAAAAAGUAAAUGUAAAAACAUUUUGGAAAAUAUUGAUUACGAUACUUUAUGUAAAAAAUGUAACAUUGCUCAUCAAGGCUUUAUUUAUUUGAUAAAAAAACAGUACUAUUGUGAAAUAU
rnacentral:lncRNA from 1 species